rnacentral:rRNA from 1 species
GACGAACGCUGGCGGCGUGCUUAACACAUGCAAGUCGAACGGAAAGGCCCUGCUUUUGUGGGGUGCUCGAGUGGCGAACUGGUGAGUAACACGUGAGUAACCUGCCCUUGACUUUGGGAUAACUUCAGGAAACUGGGGCUAAUACCGGAUAGGAGCUCCUGCUGCAUGGUGUGGGUUGGAAAGUUUCGGCGGUUGGGGAUGGACUCGCGGCUUAUCAGCUUGUUGGUGGGGUAGUGGCUUACCAAGGCUUUGACGGGUAGCCGGCCUGAGAGGGUGACCGGCCACAUUGGGACUGAGAUACGGCCCAGACUCCUACGGGAGGCAGCAGUGGGGAAUAUUGCACAAUGGGCGGAAGCCUGAUGCAGCAACGCCGCGUGCGGGAUGACGGCCUUCGGGUUGUAAACCGCUUUCGCCUGUGACGAAGCGUGAGUGACGGUAAUGGGUAAAGAAGCACCGGCUAACUACGUG